rnacentral:rRNA from 1 species
GACGAACGCUGGCGGCGUGCUUAACACAUGCAAGUCGAACGGUAAGGCCCUUCGGGGUACACGAGUGGCGAACGGGUGAGUAACACGUGGGUGAUCUGCCCUGCACUUCGGGAUAAGCCUGGGAAACUGGGUCUAAUACCGGAUAGGACCCUGGGAUGCAUGUCCUGGGGUGGAAAGCUUUUGUGGUGUGGGAUGGGCCCGCGGCCUAUCAGCUUGUUGGUGGGGUGAUGGCCUACCAAGGCGAGGACGGGUAGCCGGCCUGAGAGGGUGACCGGCCACGCUGGGACUGAGAUACGGCCCAGACUCCUACGGGAGGCAGAAGUGGGGAAUAUUGCACAAUGGGCGCAAGCCUGAUGCAGCGACGCCGCGUGAGGGAUGACGGCCUUCGGGUUGUAAACCUCUUUCAGCACCGACGAAGCGCAAGUGACGGUAGGUGCAGAAGAAGGACCGGCCAACUACGUGCCAGCCGCCGCGGUAA